UAGGCAAAUCCGGGGUACUCUAUGCUGAGAUCUGAUAGCAAGCUGUACUUGUACAGCGAAGUGGUUGAUGCCAUGCUUCCAGGAAAAGUCUCUAAGCUUCAGUUACACAGGAAUCGUACCCGAAACCGACACAGGUGGUCAGGUCGAGUAGACCAAGGCGCUUGAGAGAACUCUGCUGAAGGAACUAGGCAAAAUGGUACCGUAACUUCGGGAGAAGGUACGCUGUUGUUGGUGAUGGAACUCGCUUCCUGAGCUGACGACAGCCGCAGAAACCAGGCCGCUGCAACUGUUUAUUAAAAACAUAGCACUCUGCAAACACGAAAGUGGACGUAUAGGGUGUGAUGCCUGCCCGGUGCUGGAAGGUUAAUUGAUGGGGUUAGCGUAAGCGAAGCUCUUGAUCGAAGCCCCAGUAAACGGCGGCCGUAACUAUAACGGUCCUAAGGUAGCGAAAUUCCUUGUCGGGUAAGUUCCGACCUGCACGAAUGGCAUAAUGAUGGCGGCGCUGUCUCCAGCAGAGGCUCAGUGAAAUCGAAAUCGCUGUGAAGAUGCAGUGUACCCGCGGCUAGACGGAAAGACCCCGUGAACCUUUACUGCAGCUUGACACUGAACUUUGACCUUACUUGUGUAGGAUAGGUGGGAGGCUUUGAAGCUGGAACGCUAGUUCCAGUGGAGCCGUCCUUGAAAUACCACCCUGGUAAUGUUGAGGUUCUAACUCUGUCCCGUGAUCCGGGACGAGGACCGUGUCUGGUGGGUAGUUUGACUGGGGCGGUCUCCUCCUAAAGAGUAACGGAGGAGUACGAAGGUGCGCUCAGCGUGGUCGGAAAUCACGCGUAGAGUAUAAAGGCAAAAGCGCGCUUAACUGCGAGACCCACAAGUCGAGCAGGUACGAAAGUAGGUCUUAGUGAUCCGGUGGUUCUGUAUGGAAGGGCCAUCGCUCAACGGAUAAAAGGUACUCUGGGGAUAACAGGCUGAUACCGCCCAAGAGUUCAUAUCGACGGCGGUGUUUGGCACCUCGAUGUCGGCUCAUCUCAUCCUGGGGCUGAAGCAGGUCCCAAGGGUAUGGCUGUUCGCCAUUUAAAGAGGUACGCGAGCUGGGUUUAGAACGUCGUGAGACAGUUCGGUCCCUAUCUACCGUGGGCGCUGGAAAUUUGAGAGGAUCUGCUCCUAGUACGAGAGGACCAGAGUGGACGAACCUCUGGUGUACCGGUUGUGACGCCAGUCGCAUCGCCGGGUAGCUAUGUUCGGAAGGGAUAACCGCUGAAAGCAUCUAAGCGGGAAGCCUACCUCAAGAUAAGAUUUCCCUAGGACUUUAUGUCCUCUAAAGAGCCGUUCGAGACUAGGACGUUGAUAGGUUGGAUGUGGAAGCAUAGUGAUAUGUGAAGCUGACCAAUACUAAUUGCUCGUGAGGCUUGACUAUACAACACCCAAGCAGUUG
rnacentral:rRNA from 1 species